GACCUGCGGAAGGAUCAUUACAUAGAAUCUAGGCCCUAAGCUGUAGGAAUACUGCCCAUGGGCUUCUUCUAUUACCCUUGGUUUUUGAGUACUUGUGUUUCCUUGGUGGGCUUGCCCGCCAAUAGGACAAACUAUUAAACCUUUUUAAUUUUCAAUCAGCGUCUGAACAAAUGUAAUAAUUACAACUUUCAACAACGGAUCUCUUGGUUCUGGCAUCGAUGAAGAACGCAGCGAAAUGCGAUAAGUAGUGUGAAUUGCAGAAUUCAGUGAAUCAUCGAAUCUUUGAACGCACAUUGCGCCCCUUGGUAUUCCAUGGGGCAUGCCUGUUCGAGCGUCAUUUGUACCCUCAAGCUCUGCUUGGUGUUGGGUGUUUGUCCUCUCCAUUGUGUUUGGACUCGCCUUAAAGCAAUUGGCAGCCAGUGUAUUGGUUUUAAGCGCAGCACAUUUUGCGUCUUGCUCCCUAUAACACUUGCGUCCAUUAAGCCUAUUUUAUCACUUUUGACCUCGGAUCAGGUAGGGAUACCCGCUGAACUUAAGCAUAUCAAUAAGCCGGAGGAA
rnacentral:rRNA from 1 species